CACCACUCUACCCGCUGUAUGUUCACACUUUCGUCAUCGUUGCUGGUUAGCGGCGCAGCGCGGUUCGGCGACGGGACACACGGGACACACCAGUCACGAUGACCACAACGACGCGGAGGCACACGCAACACACCGCGGCUACGACGACAACCGGACUAAAGGGAGGUGCACACGCACCGUAACGCGAAAACUGACACGCUAUCGCAACACGAACUCGCUCUCUCGCGACACCACCGUGAUAUGACAACGACAACGAUCGACACACCACCGUUCGGAAUAAUACGUCUACGAUACACUGCACGACACCAACAUCAGUUAAGAAAUACGUAUAAUAAGUCAAGAGAAUAGAGAACGCGUAAAUCAAAUUGAAACGGUCAACUAAGGGAAAUAAAAUGACAAUAACAAAAAUAAAGUUGGAAACAAUAAGGAAUCGAACGAACGAAGAAUAACAAGGAAGUAAAGGAAAAUCUGUCGUUCCACAGGCUGAAUCUGAUCGCAAUGUAAACGCGCCUUCAAGUAUCUCGCGCGCGCGGUCGGCUUCUCUCGUUGUCUCGUAAAACAACAACGUAUCUCGCGAGGAAAGCGCACCUGCGCGCUCCUGCGUCGUUUUCUCGGUCGUGGCCCGUUUGUCCCUGUCGCGCCACCUCUCCUCCUGUCCCUCCCAGCCCGCUAACCCUCUCUUUCUUUAUCCUUCGUUCCUCUCCACGAGCACCCAGACCUACUCUCUCACUCUCAUUUACCUCCUCCAACACGCUCUCGAACGCUCUACAACUCGCCUGUAGUUGACUGGAGAGGGGGUCACUAGGAGGCACCUUCUCUACCUCUUCUUUCUCAUUCCCCUCUACACCCGCGCGCUCACGUCGCCUACCCCGCACAACAUCCACCGUCGACCCUGUAACACCACCCACCCACCCAAUACCCAGUAUGCAUCGUCGAGAGUCGAUUACCAUCGAGAGAAAGAGAGAGAGAGGACCGGGGACGGUCCCUUCCACUCUCGGCACAGCCGCGCAGUGACAGACACCAAUAUGGCCGCCACUGUCGACUAAAUUCAACGCGGCGCGCGCGCUCGUUCCGCGAUUAUGUAAGUCCUCAAUGAUUAGGAAUUUUCGACGUACGUGCAAUAGUGGAUGACUCGUACGCGUUGCCUUCUCUGGGGUACUCUGGUUUUACAUGCAAAACAAUUUGGUCGGCAGAUUUGGAAAUUGAGCCUUUUUGCAGGAUUAAAAGUAAUUUUACUACAGGGACUAGGGAAAAUUGAGAUGGAUAUAAAGUGUAUUAAUUUAAAUUUUAGAAUUUUACUGUCAGAGUUUCUAAUUAUUAAUAAUUAUUUGGCAAUAUGAUAUAGGAUUUCAAUUAUUUUAGAACGCAAUUAUCCAAUUUUUAUUAUUUCAAUGUACAUAAUUUAGAUUUGAAUCUGGCACUGAGACUCCAUUAUCUUCAUCACGACUAAAUAUCACAUUUUUCUUAUCUUUAACGUGAUAUAAUUUAAACCACGUUUUUAGUUAUAGACUUAAUUAUAUGCAUUAUAUAAUAAUUUUAACAAAGCCAUUUGUAGCGUCUCAUUCCAGUUGCCUUAUCAUUGUAUCAUUGAUACGUAUCAAAGUUAUCGUAUUAUUGUAACUUUCAUUUUUCUUGUUAGAAAAUAAGAUUCAUUUUACAAAUUGUAGAAUUGAAUCGGAUACAAUACAAUCAAUAAGGGUAAAAAAAGAAAAGGAACAAAGGAGAAAAACGAAGGAUAGGAAACAUUAACAAUGUAUACAGAGGUUCUAAAUUAAUAUCCUCGUUAGGUAUCAAUUUCCUGCUAGUCAACGAACCUCGAUUUAAUCCACAAAGGGCGAAUCGAAAUUACACACGUAAACCAUAGGUUUUCGAGUACACCCACGUUGUUUUGUACGGUACAAAGACUCUGGUGAGCUCGUAUGUCGCAAGUCCAAAAUUAGACACUGCCAAUCACCGUGCGCAAUCUAUAUUAUCGGGACAAUCGAUUGCCUUCGACGCGUGUUGUCGAAGCCAGCCAUACUGUGAUAUUAAUAGGUUGAUUAGGAAGGACCAACGCAAAGCGAUUGCCACGGAAGAGAGGUCAGAUGCCAGGGAGUUUAAUACGAUUCGACGAUGCAUAAGGAGUCUCACGUUAUUACCGAUUACAUAAGAUGAUCAUCGAUUAUACGGAGAAACGCGUAAAAUGGUGAUUAUUCCGUUCCACGCUCUACCGAAACCUGAGUUCCAGUUUGGAUUUGUAAAAGCGAGCAUUGUUUCAUAGGCAGCGCAGUCGAUUCGAAUUUUGGCUCGGAGACAAGUUUGAAUUGCGCAGUUGGCUUUCGUUAAUAGGUGCUCAGGUUCAAAAUUAACAUUAAGAAGAAUUAAGUUAUAUGUACUAGUACAACUAACUAGAAAGUGUUUCGAAUAUUCAAAAUAUAUAAAUAACGUUAAAGUAUUAUACAGACUAAUAUCAAUUGAGUUAAGUUAACAUAACAGCUAAACUAAUGUUCAUUUCUCAUAAAACACCGUGACUUUAUCACCUAUUUUAUAUUUUUUAAUCUACCGGAUUAUCCUUGUCUUCGACUAUUUCAUAUUAAAAUACUUCCUUUUAACCUCUAAUAACUAAAAACAUACAAUAUAUAACAUAACAUAACAUAACAAAAAAUAAGUUAUUAAACCCAUUAAAAAGGAAUUCAAGAUGGCUAUCAAACUAGUCACCAUCCUCGUACACAAGUCCAAGCAUGCGCAGUUAUGUCUGAACCAGUCGAAUUCCAAUUGGAUUAUAAUUCAAGACCACGAUUGAGAUCGACGGAACCGUGCAAUGACGGUUUGAUUGUCAAUUAGCGGAGACAAGAGGACGGUUUACGCUGGUAUGAAUGCAGAGUGAGGCUUGGUAAACAAUAAUAAAAUUAUCCCCAGGGCCUCGAGACGCUGGAGGGGGUAGAAAAAAGGACGAAUCUAAAAAAAUCGCAAAGCUGGGAGAGACCGCAAUGCGUCUCGAAGGCCGCGUCGCCCUGUCUGACCACGAAUCGAACUUUUCUACUUAGAAAUCGGGCGAGCCGGAGAUGCACGAAGGGGCACGAAUCGAGUCGAAGCAACACGUGGCCCCGGGAAUACGGGAGUGAUCGACGUCGCCGCUGUCGCACAGACUCGAUUAUUCUAGCUACGAAAGUCCGGAACUGUUACACGCUCGGCGUCUCAAUGUCAUGGCUUCAGCAGGCACGAUAAAUGCGCCCGAGCGUGGAGGGAUCGACGUAGGAAAGAGAGAGGGAAACAAGGAAAAAAAACAAUAACAUGCAACAGAGAAACAUGCACCGCGAAAAAGCAAAUGAAGUAGAGGAAAGAAGACAUUGUAGUGCGCAACGAAAUACAAUGAAACCGAAACCGAAACCGUCGGUUGUUCGUUUACAGAGUUAAGAACUAAGAUGGUGGGGGAAACACCAAGUUGGAACCAAUGGCGUCACACCACCGGUGAUAUCCAAUCGACAGAGGAAAUUUUAUAGGACUUGAAAUUUCGCGAUCAAUUUAAAUGACCCAUAUUCCGAACGUGCACCAUUGCGUUGUCUAACGGGUGUCGGAAUUGUUUGGAUAACAUUCUAUUUGCGACGAGGUUGAAUCAUCGUGUUUUUCAAGAGAUAUGGAGAAUGAUAAUAAAGGUUACAAAAAGUAUUUGCAGAUAUUUAUACUUACUAAUGAAAGAUGUUUUCUUUUUUAUCAGGUUCCAUGUUUCACUUUUAUGAUAUGAAACUUUAUAAUCAUAUAAAACUAAUACUAAAAAAUACGAAAUUUAAUAUACUUAAUACCUAGUAAUUAAUUACUAUGUAAAUGAUAUAAUAAAUAAAAUGUGAUGCAAAUUUAGAUACUGUAUAUCGUUCGUGAUACUAUCAUUUAUGAAAUUCUAUAUUUUAUUUAUCACAAAUUUACUUAAUUUCGAUUCUAAUUCAGUUUUAUCGUUCAAGGAACAUUUCCAUACAAUUUUGGACACACUUUGAGCAGAGAAUAUGCGCGAGAGUAACUCAGCAUUCUCUCGAGUACAACAGACAGGUCGAGUAAUUGGAUCGAGCGGCCGGGCUGCGAUUGGCAGCCGACUAACAGGCCUGUUUCAACCCCCAUCCAGGAAGUGGCAAGGGCUUGAGAGAGAUCCUAUAAUGCUUUGCUUAACUUGACCUUAAUUUCACGAGAUACAAUCUGAUUGCCGUUUAUGAGUUCUUGGAAAUUGUAGGACACACAUAUUGCUUUUACGGGCAGGGAAAAAUAGAUCGCCGUCAUAUUCUUUCCAUCAGGGUCAAAGAAUGCACGGAUAAAAGAGAGGUAUUAAAAAUAUCCGUGCAGACUCGAAUUGAAUGUAAAGAGUAGAAGCGAAAAAUUAACUACAAAAUUUUCCGCAGUUGUUCUACACUUCCCGCGAAAGUUUAUUAUCGAAACGAGACAAUUAUAAUAAAGUGUAAAACUUUGUCCAUUUAUGGAAUAGUUAAAAGUUAAAAGUACGAAUUCGCAGAAUGCAUAUAAUCUUCAAAAAUAUAUAAAAUAUGCAAAGCUCCAUAAAAAUAUUAGCAAUUGCAAUAAUUAUAAAUAUUGUAAUAAUAACAACAACAACAAUAAUAAUAUAAAUAAUAAUAAUAGAAACAGAACCAGAAGUAAAAAUUUAUUUCUUUAAACUUAUAACGAUUAUUUAUAUUUCAAAAAAUAUACCACAAAGGCUUUAUUACAGCGUUUUCUUGGUUUUUCGCUAUCUUUAUUUAGAGGUCUCUUAUUCUUUCCUUUUUCAUAAAUAAUUUUGUUCAUCUGCUCUACGAUUUUUAUCACGAUCACGUUACAAUGAAGAACGACGAUAGUGAUUCCAUCUCUAUCGCAUUCCUGUCUCCUUCCUUUUGUAAUUUCGCCCGAAAGUGACGAAGAGAGGACACACAGGGGUGGAAUAGUACCUUCCAGACAAUAGCAGAACGGAAGACUUCGGUCCUUCGAACGUUUCCGCUUUCAAGUCUCGAAUUUCAACCCUCUUGUAUCUUCUCUCAACGAAACACCCUGUUUCUUCCCAUUCAAGUUUAUUCAAUAUCCAAGGGAAAUCUUGCUUUUUCCUCAUCUCUUAUCUCGAUAUAUUUAUUCGAAGAAAAGUAGAUUGGAUCUCGACAAAAUGUAUUUAAGUAUUCUUCCUUUCCUGUUACACCCACUAAAUUGGAUUCGCCAAGAUGAAGAUAAAAAGUGUUUAUAAAAGACGUUCGUUAGGAAGUCUUUAUGUUGAGGUAUACAGAAGAGGGAGGAAGAUUAUUUAUGUAAAUUUCUGAAGUAUCGAAAUUAGGUAGUCUUCGAGAAAACACUGUCGAAAGUUUAUUGAAUUUAACUUCCUUCAAUUAUAAUAAUUUGAAUCAGUUCGUGAGAAAGAAGUGCAAGACAUCGUAUGAAAAGUAUAUUCGAAGAAAGAAGAUCGCUUGUGUAAAUAUCUGGAAUAUCAGAAUUAGUGUAUUUUUAAGAAAAUUCUGUUGAAACCUUCUGAAAUUUAAUUUUCUUCGCUUGUAAUAGUUUUGUAGAAGGCACUGGAAUUCAGAUGGAAGAAGCGAAGAAAUUAUCUACUAAAUGUAGAGGAAGAUCCUUCAUAUAAAAGUUUGAAAUAUCAGAACUGAAGAACCUUCGACAAAAAUUCUGUUCAAGGUUUCUUAAAUUUAAUUUUCUUCGGUUAUAAUUAUUUCCAAGGAAGUAUUGGGAUUUAGAAGGAAGAAACGAAGACAUUCUCUGGUAUCGAUCAAGUGAUAAUCAGCUUUCGUUUCUUGCGCGCAGCAGGGAUGUCUUUAUAUCAACAAGGCUUAACCUUCGAGCAUAUUAAGGGCAUCAUAGUUUGCUCAGUAGCAAAUAGGGCCAAGGAUAUCUCGUCCGGUUAUGAACUGCUCGCUUGAAUAAUUGAUAAAAUAUCGACAAAAUUGUUCGCGACUUAUCAGCAGCGUUACCAUUUUCCAUUCGGGCUAACCGUCUUCCAUCAUCCUUCAAUAUCGUUUAUUCUUUCUAGUAAAUGUAGAACACGAAUAUUCAAUGUCCGUUUAAGAGAUAGAAAAAUGAAUAUGCAAGAUACAUUUAUAAGAAACUCAUAAAUUUUUACGAACCUUCUCCUCAAGUUGGGAAAUUGAUAAAAAAACUAAAAAUUGUUUACAUAACCUCUUUUUUAAUUGGAACUUUGUUAAACUAACCUAUAAGACUAAGAGAUCUUCGCUCGUUCUUUACAUUUCUUUUGAAAUACAAGCAUCUUUGUAAUGUCACAAGUCUUGUAAUUAAUGAUAUUCAAUACAAACUGAAAGGUUUUUCCUGCUUCUAAUCCUACCUAUUUUAAAAUAAAUCUAUCACUUGCUUCGUAUCAUAUUUCAUUUCAUAUUUCACAUUUUUACAGCUACAAUCAAAAUAAAAGCAACAUGGAGAUUUGUUUCGUCCAUUGAACAUCAUAGCAAAUAUAUAUGCUUUGCUUUAGAUAUUUUAUACAUUUUUGUACAUUUACAUCCUUAAAUUUUCUGCAAUUGCACAGAUUCUUCUAACAUAAUAUAAAACACUAAAUAAAAUGAAAUUUGUUAUAUUUCUCCAAUAUAGCCAGUAAGCACCUAAUAUUUAUAGCCAUCGGUGUACAUUACUUUCGAAGCAAAUAAUCUAACCGAUACAUUUUUCCUUUGCAUAAGUUAUUUCUUCAUCUUUAAACCACGUAACCUAUUUCUUGAUGGGUAAGUAUCAACUGCUCCUACGUGGGUGAUUUCUGAAAGUACGACAGGCGCAACAAGGUGAAUUCUACUCUUCCCAUAUCCUGAGAGAGAGAAAGAGAGAGAGAGAGAGAGAGAGAGAGAGAGACAGGGAAGUGAGGAAUUCAUGCACGAGCGGCCGUUAGGGGUUGACCUAAUUCCACUUCGUAGGUUGGCCUCUGACUGUCUGACCUUUUCCCAGGAGAGUUCCUGGCGAGGGUACACGCGUACGAGCCCGUGAACCACCUACAAAUCGUUCGAGGGACGGAGAGCCACGGCGGACACGUGUACAGCCUCCAUAAGCAGCAGAAACAUGCGCAAUAUGGGGAGAACGCGUAGUACGACAGUGCGUAGGAUACGCAUGGAACAAAUCGGAAAAUAAAGUCAAUAAUGGCAACAGAGAGAGAAAGUUUGGAGACUUUGGUUCUGUAAGUUAAGUAUUAUUUGUUAGUUGAAGGAUAAUUAAUAGAAAAUGGGAGAAUAAACGAGAGUCGGGAAGAAGAAGAAGAAAAUAGAGAGGAAAAGUGACUGCAAAGUUUGAUUAUAUUUUGAAUUGUAACGGCGAGUCGAGGUGUAAUAGUUAAAAAAUUGGAGAACAAGGGAAGUAAAUGAAAGUCAAAAGGAAGAAGAAAACAGAGAGGAAAAGUGACUACAAAGUUUGAUUAUUUUUAACUUUAAUCGCGAGUGAAAGCGUAACAGCCAAGAAAUUGGAAAGCAAGCUGUAAGACGGAAAAAUGAAUCAGAGAAGUUAGAUUUAAUCAUGUAAUGAAGCUGACUGAGGUUACUGAAUGUACUGAGAAAACCGGAUUACCGUUUAUCGAUAAAUCUUUUGUGCUUAUUCUGUGGCGCAGGAUAAGUAGAUUUGUCCGAUCAGGGUCAGACUCAACAAGUAGUCGAGUUGCUAUAUGCGACUAUCCGCGGGUCAUACUGCCAUACUCUUUAAAAAACGAGGAACAGAUUAAAUUUUCCUGAAUUUCAAACAAACUAAAUUUGAACUCCAUAAACAGACUGCGGAUUUUUAUACAUUUAUGGAAAUUUAUGGAACGCGAAUAAAUACAAAAUAGAAGAAAUGUAUAAGCGUUUGUGCAGAAAUAUACAUACGUAUAAAAAAAAAAAAAAAAAUAGAGUACUUGUUAUAAUAUUUCGUAACUGAAACAAAUCUCUACUUCGGUUCUAUCUUAACUCGAAAAUUGUGUUGUUCUCGCACGAUCCUCUCUUUCCCUCGCCCCAUGCAAUUCGUAACGUAAUCUAACAAAAACGGUAUCCAAUACACCAUCGGCGAAAGCUUAAUGAUAAAUCAAACUAUAAAGCUAUGAAACAAACACGAAGAAACUUCCAUAAGAAGAAAAUUGAUAGAAAAAAAAGUGUAACGAGAAACGGGACUGGGAUUAAGCCGUAUCCAGGAAGGCCGGCGAAUUUGCGUAGGUGUACACAAGCACCGUAGAUAGUGGAGGUUCGCCAGGCAAGUGCGAAACGACCGUGAGGGGAUAAGCGAAACUGGGUCACCCCUGGGAACCGGAGAGCCUGUGGCUCGUGUCCGGGAGCACGACUGGCCACAGAGAGGAAAAGAGAGAAGAUAGAGAUAUAAGUGCAUGUGUGCGUGUACCUGGUGGAUAUAUCGGCUUUGGAACGGAAGUCGGCGCACGCAUUAUUUACAAAAAGGAACCUGCUCGCUGGAAAAUAGUGAUAUCGUGGGCUCGAUUCGUGAAUUAUGCAUUACGCGCCGCUAGCUUAUCAAUGCAUGAAAGAACUCAGAACUCUGAAAGCGCUGAACGAAUGUGCCAUUAUACUGUCUAGGAAUCGGAUGAUUCGAGUGAAAACGCGCAGGUAUGAAUUCAUCGUAAAUCGUGGCAAUAAAUAAUAUAACGUUGCUCUCGGAUGCUGUUCUGUUGGGAAUGAAUAGAGGAUAUAAUUCAGAAUGAUAAAGGUCAUGAGGCGGGUUGAUGAAACAUAAGGAACAUACGGGCGGCGCAGGAAGCAAGGAUACAUUUCUCUUGGUGCCAAUUUGUUGGAGCUGGCUUAAAAUAAUUCAUGCUAUUACUGGGAAGAUUGUCUUCUUUUUUCGUCUAAGUUGGUUGUAUGUAGAAUAAGGGGAAUGAUAAAAGAAUAUGAGUCUUCAUGAGUAAUAGAUAAUAGUAAUCGUGUGAAACCUUGUUUCAGUUUGAUCAAUACAGCGAAUGUAAUACGAUGAAAGACUUUUAGUACGAAAGAGUAAAAGAUAUUAAAAGAUAUAUUUGGUAUAUGAACUGUGGAUGUUCCUACGAUUUUGGAAAAUUUAGAAGUGCACAGAUAUGCAAAAUAUUUAUAAAUAUUAUAUAAAUUAUAUGAUAUCCAAAGUAAAGUAAUUUAAUCUUAUUUGGCAUAAAUUAAUUUAAUAGGUUUAAUAAAAAGAUAUGAUGUAUUUAAAUUGAACUAAUUUCUUCCAAAUAAUUUUCUCCACCGUGUACGUAUGAUACAUAGUUAGGGUAAAGUCAUUUUGACAGAACAAUACACAUAGGGAAUUUUUGUUUCGCAGAUACAAGACGCGUCUCAUUCUCGAGCAAAGACAAACGAUCUACUUGGCCAACAAUGGUCAUGUACCAUCAUCGCCUGUGCGAAAAUAUUAGGAGAAAGAGCAAAUAACAUCCGCUAUCUUGACGUAUGAACGUAUCUAUGAAAACAUAUGAAUCACUGUGCGUAUUUGCACAUUCAAAGAGAGGAAGAGAUUUGAGAGGCGCCGAUAUCAUCGACGACAGUUGACCUAGAUCGUUUGAACGAAAAACGGCGGGUCGAUUAUAUCGAAAUAAUAAUUCUGCCUCGGACCAGACCAUUCUCGUUUGAUACUAUGACCAGGCAGCACUUCUACUUACAAAAGACUUCUACUUGCCAAUUAAUUUGAAUGUUUUGUAUAAAAGUUUGUAAAGGGUUGUCGAUUCAAGAUACUGAUACUAAUUCUUUAUAUUCAGAGGACGCUUAACAUUUUGUAACAUUAUUUAUGAGAAGACUACGCGAAUACUGAUAUACAAAGCAUCUCACAGUUCUUGAUAUUUUGUAAAUUAUCACGAAAGCAAAAAUAGCCAAGAUCUAAUGAAUCUCACCUUAGUAAUUAACUUAAAUGUUUACGUAAGUGUUUUGGAAUAAUCUACUAUUCUUUCCGUCAAUUACAAGGAAUCUAAUACCUUGUAACAAAGUUUAUGGUGAGUUUAGGUGGAUGUAUUCAUCUAUGGUGGAUUUAGAGGGUCUAACGAGGUAUAUGGAACUGCAGCAAUGCAGCUAGAAUCGUACUGCUCGGAAUACGUGGAUUAAUGUAACAUAAUCGAAUAACUGGAACCACUGAGUCCCCUUCUGCGUUCACGACCUGACGUCAACGAGUAACUCCAACUUGUACGUGACUGUUUCUCUGUAUUUAUCACUCUGUAGCUGUAAAAUAACUCUCAACACACCGUCGGGAGUUUCCUAAAUGAGACAAUAACAUUAACAACGGGACCGAGCGACUGGUCCAAGGCUUCAGACCGACCGAAUUUAUGAAUACCACGAAUUUAGAACGAAAAAUGAUAGAUCGAGGGUCAGAAAGGACGCAUAAAGUGAGAUAAAUUGAGCUUGGAAGGAGAAAUUUUGAAAGGAAAUUGAAGUAAUAAAUGAUAGUGUCAUUGGGAUGAAUUUAAUCUUUUUGAAGAUGCAAAGAUUUGUAGGAAUUCGUGUCCUAUUUGUCAUUGCUUGAUAUUGUUUCAUGGCAAUGUUAAAAUAAUAAAACAUUAGAUAGGUCAACAGUUUUCACGACUGUAUAUUUUGUUAUACAAAUAAAAGGAUGUUUCUGGGAAUGUAUAUUAAACAAGAACGUAUGUUUCGUACACGGUAGUUGUGAAAAAUUGCACAAGCUAAAAGUGUGAUCAGCUGUUGUUAAAUAGUCGGGACAGGAUUGCAUAAUGCUUGCAUUACGUGACGGUGCAUUCCCUUCCUCCUUCCGCUCUUCCGGAUAGUCUAUAUACAAUGAGUACAUAGAGCCUCUAAAGUACAAGGCUACGAGCUGACCAGUGACGUACGGCAUACUGGCACGUUGUAGGCACCUCUAUUUUCAUCGUUUUAACAGUGUUUUAAAUGCAAAAUAACCAUUGACCAAAAGUUUCAAACCCUGCAACACCUAACUUCCUUAAAAAAUAAUAUAUAAUGAAGCAUUAUUCAGGAAUAAUAAUUUUACCAUUAAUUAUCUCCUUUAUAUUUCAAUCAUUUCCCAAAAAAGCUUUCCCAUUCGAUUUCACUGGCUUCCUCUUUUCAUUAUUUUUCUAAAAUUAGGACUCCACCUUUAGAGAUGAUUGCAUCCUUUCUUAUUAUUCUACUAAAUUUAAGAUUUGAUUAUUAGAAAUUGUUGCAUCCUACUUCCAUUAUUCCACAAAAUUUCGGAUUUUAUUGUAACUAUAGAACAACUAUUAAUACUACUGUUUGACUCAUCAUGUAUCUAAUGAAUUCUUAUACACAUUUGCACCAUCAUCGAUGACACGCUAGAAAGGAGCGUGCUCAUUAGAGGACGGAAUGAAAACGUACCUCCCUGCCAAAAACGCGAUGCUGCAAUGCUCGCUGUCGUCGCAGCGUAAGUCUUACAUAACCCUACUCCCCUUGCUCCUAGCGCCACCUAGACGACCCUUUGUUGCAAGCGGUAACGCGAUGGUUUUACGUGCUCGUCGCUCUCCCUCUUUGCUGUGCUCGCACGAGUUUUCUAGGAACGCAAAGCCGAGUGACGUGGCGGUUAAAUUUUCCACCAAGUUGCACGGAUAUAUUUACAACGUCAGGACGAGUUCGAACACGGUCGCUUUUUCAUUCUGGGCUCCCUUACACUGAACAACUUGCUAGACACUCUGAUGGUAAAAAAGGGUCUUCUGUUGUAUAAUUGGCGGAAGAGAUAUAUAGAGUUAUAAAUUAAACCGACUGUUCAACUUAGGGGAUCGUCGUAAGCGGAUCACAGAGAGAGGAAUUGAGAAUUCAUUAAGAUUUAAUCGGAAUAACGUGAUUCGAUUAUUCCAUUUAUACUAUCGUGAUAUAAUUAUCGAAAUAGUGAAUGUCUAUAUUUGAGCACUGCUGCUUACACUGCAGAUAACAGAAACUACGAUAAUACACACUGUCUAUGUUAUAUUAUUUUGAGCCUGCGUUUUCCAACGCCGCGUUAGGCGAGAUAAAGAUUAAUUUAUGCGCGCAUUGAAUGGUAUUUUUCGCAUCAAAGUUGUUAUUCUACAAAAGAAUGACAAUUCUUUAGAAUCAUUCAUAUUUUUGAUUAAAUAUUAAGUCAUCCUAAAUAUAUACAAAUACGAAAUAAUUAGAAAUUAAAUUGUUUUCACUGGGGACGUUUAAUCAUUAUAAUGGCAGCGAUGAUGUCACGCCAAGCAUUAACACUGCAAUGAUCUAAUGAACACAUCAAGUGCGGCUUCUCGUAAGAAACUUCACUACGCAUUUUACUACAUUGUUCUAUCUGAUUCUUUGCUUCCUAACCAAAUUACGCACUGAAUUUCAGUUCGAAAGAAAUCUUCAACUGAAGAGUUUGCAGCAAUAAAUUAACUCUAACAUUUACAUUAUAUUUAUUGGAAUAGAAAGAAGAUAAAAUAUAAUACAUAUAUAAAAAAUGUAAAAGUUUAUUAGUACGAAUACCAGUAUGUCUGUAAAAGUACUUGAUUUAUUUAAAUUACUACUACAAAGUAAAUUCCUUUAAUUAUAAUUGGGGUUAGGUUACUUACAAACAACUUGAAAUUUAGAAAAUGUUCUUUCAAAUUUAGAUCUUCUUAAUAAUCAACAAAUGGAUGAAUAAUUAAAUUGGUUCCAUUAAAAGGAAAUUAAUUUAUAAGACAGCGGCGUAUAGAUCUUCAAAUGAGAGACUAAUGAAACACAUAAUGGAACUUAGCGCCCUCUAAGAAUUCGCAACUAGGAGGGAAGUCUUCUGCUGAGAAGUUGAGAAUCAGCUGAUUGGUCACCAGAGCGUCAGCUGAUUUUGACAGCACAGUCGACCUUGUGCGCAUCCUAGCGCGUCGCGCGCCCUGAACCAAUUCAAAUAUACGAUUUAUGGCGACCACGCAUGCGCAUUGCGCAUACGCGCUCCCUGUUUGCAUUAAUAACAUCCAAAAGUCUUUUCGAUAUUACCAGCCCACUAACGGAAUCGUUAUUUUCAUUUGAAUAUAGGAACCUUCAUAACGUUUCUAUUUUGUAGAUAUUUAAUUUAGGAAAUACCUUUUGAAUAAAUAAGUUGAAAGAUGGUUCAACUACAAAGAAAUUCAUUGAAGACUUUAUCUUCAGAGAUGCUUCACUAUUAUGAUGACAUGCGUACUUGCGCAUUGUUCGGCUUGCCAGAGGAUCAGCCAGAGCUUGCCAGAGGAUCAAUAAUUCAUUUCUCAUCUGUCACGCCCCUAUUUGGUGGACUCGCGAUAUUAGUAGAGGCACACCACAAUAAACCGUGUUAAAUUGCUGAACUUGGAGCCAAUCGUGUCAUUAAGCACCUGAGUAAUUCUUAACUUUCGUUAUCUAUGCAUAGCUGAUAUCGAUAUAGAAUCUGAUUGACAGUGUAAAUAUUUAAACUGCUUUCAUAAUCCGUAGUAGCAAAUAUUCUUUGGUUAUGACAGUCUUUAUGACUUUCAAUCCAUAAAUUGUUGAGUGCGUUAUUAUAAGAUCCCAUAAAUAUCAAUGCAGACUUCGUAUCUGAUGUUUUCCAGUUAAAGUACAAUUUUAUGAUCGUUUUUAUUGUUAUUUCACUUUAUUGUCCCUUCAUAAAAUCAUUAUAGAGGACCUGCAGGUAACUCAAUGGGCUGCUAACGCCCUCAGAAAACUGAGAUACCACCAGCUGUGUUCACUCGCUUCAUUACCCACCGAGUGAACGCAGAGUGGCUCCCUGUUCUCCGAGAGCCCGUUCACCAUUUCCGUUUCGCUUUUACCGACCGAACGGAUUGGAUGAUAAUCAGGUCUUUCGACGGUUCUUCUUUGGUUGAUGGCUUUUAAAAAGAGGGACCCUGAGGACCCUCAUUGCGCUUUCAUUGAUUAUUGAUUCAAUGUUAUUGCCGCAUUCAUUAUUAAUCCAACGUUUAGAUAUUAAAAUUUACCAUUUUGCUGGUGAAUAAUUUCCUUGUUUCAUAAACUUUAUUUCUCCUUGAAUAGUUUCAUUAAAGAUAUGAAAAACUACAUAUCUGAUGUAACGUGAGACACACAUGCCGUUCAAUAAUUGAAUUUCUGAAAGUCCCGGAAGAUUCGAAAAUAGCUAUCGAACAUGAUAAAAUCUGGUAAUAAAAAGCUAAUGGAAACAUGUAUGUGAAGAUAGCAAGAAAACCAAUGAACUACGAAUCAUAACAAGACUGAUAACUGAAUAUGACAUUAUUCAUAUCGACUGGAAGUAAAUUUUUUUUUAAUGUUUAAUGAACUGUGAACUGUCGCAUAAUGGUCAACUUAUACUAAGGUACCACUGAAGAAGAAAAACUUAGUAUUCAAACUCAAGAUGAUCGAUCACUCUACCUUAAUAUAUGUAUGUACACAUAACUGACAAUUAUUCAUUUUGUUUUUUUGUAUGAUAAUUAAUCUUUAAAACAAAGUAUAAGAAAAAGUAACGUAAAUAAUGGGAAUGGAAAAGUACAGGAUCCGGAAUAAAUAUAAUAUACAUGUAUAAUUAGUGAAACAAAACAAUUACAUAAGCUCUACGAACAAUUUAAAAUCCCUUUACGUAUAGCACCGAGUUUACUUAUCUUAUCGAGCGUCGGCCACGCUGUGUUCUCCUAUCUUCGGCGCUAUAUGCGAAUUCAAACGUGUACACAAAGCCGGAUAGAGUUCGCGCGCGCAGUUUACGACGAGACCGGCAACGAUCAGACAUCAAAGCGGCUUCUGCUAUAUACACUGUACGUGACGGUAGUCGAGUUUCAAGGUUAAACGAUAAGUCGUUCAAAACAGAGUUAUCACGGGGUCUUUUCCGAUAGAAUAACUUCGUCCUAUUCUAACUAAUCACUGGGAGUUUUUGUUAUUCAUAAAAUAUAACUAGAAAGUUAACCAUAUAAUUUAUAUAAAUCUAAUUUGAAAGUUAUAUUCACAAAAUUCCAAGAAACAUAUAUUUUCAUUAUCGCAAGAUCAUAUUUAUUAUAGAAUUUUUUACUAAGCUACUAACGUCGGUAGCGUUUACAUUUUUAUCAUACGUUAGUAUAUAUUACGCAAAUUGGUUAAGAAAUAAAUUAAUUGUUUAACACCACACAAAUGUUAAUGCGUUUAUUUCUUUUCAUUUUUCGUACUACCGAAGAACACUUAAUGGGUUCUUUUUGAAGGUUAUUAAAACUCUCACGGAACUUCAUUGAGCACUGGAAGCGAGCCAAUCAGAGAUCACAGUAGAAAGAGGGCGCGUUUACGCACGUCGUCGACGCGUGUGAAUGACGUCACAAUGUGACGUUGCGUGCAUGCACGCACGAUACGCCAAACACGAUUACGGUGGAUCGUAACAGAAUAAAAUAGUGAUACAGACGUGACGUGUUUCAGAUAUAUCUAUUUUUUUCGCAACCUUUUUGUAUGGUUUUUUCGAAAGUUUUUGAAAUUUCUAAUUUAACAUUUUUUAUUAAAAUACAUCUCUCACCUCUACAUGA